UAGAUUAAGUUAUUAAGGGCGCACGGUGGAUGCCUUGGCACUAGAAGCCGAUGAAGGACGUUACUAACGACGAUAUGCUUUGGGGAGCUGUAAGUAAGCUUUGAUCCAGAGAUUUCCGAAUGGGGAAACCCAGCAUGAGUUAUGUCAUGUUAUCGAUAUGUGAAUACAUAGCAUAUCAGAAGGCACACCCGGAGAACUGAAACAUCUUAGUACCCGGAGGAAGAGAAAGAAAAUUCGAUUCCCUUAGUAGCGGCGAGCGAAACGGGAAGAGCCCAAACCAACAAGCUUGCUUGUUGGGGUUGUAGGACACUCUAUACGGAGUUACAAAGGACGACAUUAGACGAAUCAUCUGGAAAGAUGAAUCAAAGAAGGUAAUAAUCCUGUAGUCGAAAAUGUUGUCUCUCUUGAGUGGAUCCUGAGUACGACGGAGCACGUGAAAUUCCGUCGGAAUUUGGGAGGACCAUCUCCUAAGGCUAAAUACUCUCUAGUGACCGAUAGCGAACCAGUACCGUGAGGGAAAGGUGAAAAGCACCCCGGAAGGGGAGUGAAAUAGAACCUGAAACCGUGUGCUUACAAGUAGUCAGAGCCCGUUAAUGGGUGAUGGCGUGCCUUUUGUAGAAUGAACCGGCGAGUUACGAUUUGAUGCAAGGUUAAGCAGUAAAUGUGGAGCCGUAGCGAAAGCGAGUCUGAAUAGGGCGUUUAGUAUUUGGUCGUAGACCCGAAACCAGGUGAUCUACCCUUGGUCAGGUUGAAGUUCAGGUAACACUGAAUGGAGGACCGAACCGACUUACGUUGAAAAGUGAGCGGAUGAACUGAGGGUAGCGGAGAAAUUCCAAUCGAACCUGGAGAUAGCUGGUUCUCUCCGAAAUAGCUUUAGGGCUAGCCUCAAGUGAUGAUUAUUGGAGGUAGAGCACUGUUUGGACGAGGGGCCCCUCUCGGGUUACCGAAUUCAGACAAACUCCGAAUGCCAAUUAAUUUAACUUGGGAGUCAGAACAUGGGUGAUAAGGUCCGUGUUCGAAAGGGAAACAGCCCAGACCACCAGCUAAGGUCCCAAAAUAUAUGUUAAGUGGAAAAGGAUGUGGCGUUGCCCAGACAACUAGGAUGUUGGCUUAGAAGCAGCCAUCAUUUAAAGAGUGCGUAAUAGCUCACUAGUCGAGUGACACUGCGCCGAAAAUGUACCGGGGCUAAACAUAUUACCGAAGCUGUGGAUUGUCCUUUGGACAAUGGUAGGAGAGCGUUCUAAGGGCGUUGAAGCAUGAUCGUAAGGACAUGUGGAGCGCUUAGAAGUGAGAAUGCCGGUGUGAGUAGCGAAAGACGGGUGAGAAUCCCGUCCACCGAUUGACUAAGGUUUCCAGAGGAAGGCUCGUCCGCUCUGGGUUAGUCGGGUCCUAAGCUGAGGCCGACAGGCGUAGGCGAUGGAUAACAGGUUGAUAUUCCUGUACCACCUAUAAUCGUUUUAAUCGAUGGGGGGACGCAGUAGGAUAGGCGAAGCGUGCGAUUGGAUUGCACGUCUAAGCAGUAAGGCUGAGUAUUAGGCAAAUCCGGUACUCAUUAAGGCUGAGCUGUGAUGGGGAGAAGACAUUGUGUCUUCGAGUCGUUGAUUUCACACUGCCGAGAAAAGCCUCUAGAUAGAAAAUAGGUGCCCGUACCGCAAACCGACACAGGUAGUCAAGAUGAGAAUUCUAAGGUGAGCGAGCGAACUCUCGUUAAGGAACUCGGCAAAAUGACCCCGUAACUUCGGGAGAAGGGGUGCUCUUUAGGGUUAACGCCCAGAAGAGCCGCAGUGAAUAGGCCCAAGCGACUGUUUAUCAAAAACACAGGUCUCUGCUAAACCGUAAGGUGAUGUAUAGGGGCUGACGCCUGCCCGGUGCUGGAAGGUUAAGAGGAGUGGUUAGCUUCUGCGAAGCUACGAAUCGAAGCCCCAGUAAACGGCGGCCGUAACUAUAACGGUCCUAAGGUAGCGAAAUUCCUUGUCGGGUAAGUUCCGACCCGCACGAAAGGCGUAACGAUUUGGGCACUGUCUCAACGAGAGACUCGGUGAAAUCAUAGUACCUGUGAAGAUGCAGGUUACCCGCGACAGGACGGAAAGACCCCGUGGAGCUUUACUGUAGCCUGAUAUUGAAAUUCGGCACAGCUUGUACAGGAUAGGUAGGAGCCUUUGAAACGUGAGCGCUAGCUUACGUGGAGGCGCUGGUGGGAUACUACCCUAGCUGUGUUGGCUUUCUAACCCGCACCACUUAUCGUGGUGGGAGACAGUGUCAGGCGGGCAGUUUGACUGGGGCGGUCGCCUCCUAAAAGGUAACGGAGGCGCUCAAAGGUUCCCUCAGAAUGGUUGGAAAUCAUUCAUAGAGUGUAAAGGCAUAAGGGAGCUUGACUGCGAGACCUACAAGUCGAGCAGGGUCGAAAGACGGACUUAGUGAUCCGGUGGUUCCGCAUGGAAGGGCCAUCGCUCAACGGAUAAAAGCUACCCCGGGGAUAACAGGCUUAUCUCCCCCAAGAGUUCACAUCGACGGGGAGGUUUGGCACCUCGAUGUCGGCUCAUCGCAUCCUGGGGCUGUAGUCGGUCCCAAGGGUUGGGCUGUUCGCCCAUUAAAGCGGUACGCGAGCUGGGUUCAGAACGUCGUGAGACAGUUCGGUCCCUAUCCGUCGUGGGCGUAGGAAAUUUGAGAGGAGCUGUCCUUAGUACGAGAGGACCGGGAUGGACAUACCUCUGGUGUACCAGUUGUCGUGCCAACGGCAUAGCUGGGUAGCUAUGUGUGGACGGGAUAAGUGCUGAAAGCAUCUAAGCAUGAAGCCCCCCUCAAGAUGAGAUUUCCCAACUUCGGUUAUAAGAUCCCUCAAAGAUGAUGAGGUUAAUAGGUUCGAGGUGGAAGCAUGGUGACAUGUGGAGCUGACGAAUACUAAUCGAUCGAAGACUUAAUCAA
rnacentral:rRNA from 1 species